rnacentral:rRNA from 1 species
AGUGAACGCUGGCGGUAGGCCUAACACAUGCAAGUCGAACGGCAGCACAGUAAGAGCUUGCUCUUACGGGUGGCGAGUGGCGGACGGGUGAGGAAUACAUCGGAAUCUACUUUUUCGUGGGGGAUAACGUAGGGAAACUUACGCUAAUACCGCAUACGACCUACGGGUGAAAGCAGGGGAUCUUCGGACCUUGCGCGAUUGAAUGAGCCGAUGUCGGAUUAGCUAGUUGGCGGGGUAAAGGCCCACCAAGGCGACGAUCCGUAGCUGGUCUGAGAGGAUGACCAGCCCCACUGGAACGGGGAACCGGCCCAGACCCCUACGGGGGGCAGCGGGGGGGAAUAUUGGAAAAUGGGGGAAAGCCUGAUCCAGCCAUCCCGGGGGGGGGAAGAAGGCUUUCGGGUUGUAAAGCCUUUUUGUUGGGAAAAAAAAGCAGCAGGUUAAACCCCCGCUGUUCUGACGGUACCCAAAAAAAAAGCACCGGCUAACUUCGU